AACUUAUUUUGUCAUCACUUUCUCUUUUUGAAAGAACUAAACUAUAAUAUAAUUCCAUUCAUUUCCUCAUUUUAUUUUCUAUUGUAGAAUGCAAACCAAAUGGGAAUUUAGAAAUGUAUUUCAUUGUCUUUAGUUUCUCUCAAAUUUCUUUUUAUAAAAAAUUAAUGAAACAUAAUAUAAUUUUUUUUUUUUCUGUUCUUUUAAUAACUUGACUUUUUUACUGUAAAAUUUGAACCAUAUGGAGUGGAAAUGAGUUUUCGAUUUUGGUUCAAAUCAACUCAGCCACUUCACUUUAGUUUCAUGUUAAUGAGGCUAGUGUUUCUUUUUCUGGAAAGAGGGUUGCUUAUCUAAUUUGUCUAGUUUCUUAUAUUAUGGGGUAAAUUACGCUUUAUUACCGUAAACUAUACCCUAGAGGAUUAUAAAGAGCAAGUCCACAGAACAGUUUUCAGGCAUUCCAUACGUGAUGACCUUGCUCAACUGCCUUCUUUCUUUUUGGUAUAUGAUAUAUGCUUCUUGUUUCAUCAACCGGGUUCUUUUUAAUUUUUAUUGUUUCUUUCUUCAUUUGUUACCUUUUUUACCCCUAUGCUCCUCUGUUUUUGUCAUGGAUUAUGAGUGUCUUUAAUUACUAUUAUUAUGAUGAUGAUAAUGAUGGGGAUUUUAUAGUUAGUUCAUGUUAAUUUCAUGGCCAUCCAGGCAUUCAGGCGCCUCUGUGUUGGUUGGUUGGACUUGGGAGUCUAGGCUAGCAAUUAAACAAGAUGACAAUUUUGGUUCCACGUUUCUUGCUUUAGGAAAAUGAAAUUCAAUGCUUGGUUGAUUAAUGUUAAUUUCUUCUGUACUGUGCAUGGUACUAUUUAAUAUUUUUUCUUUAGUAACUAAAAUUUCAAUUGGUGUGUCAUUCAUAAGAAAUUCUGUGUUUUUAUGGAGAGCAUGCUCCAACUGCCUCCCAACUAAGGAAAAUCUUCAUCGGUGUCGAGUAAGGGUGGAGACGAGGUGUGAGAUUUGUAGUCAUCAAUCUGAAACUGUAAGCCAUAUCUGGUGGGAGUGCCCAUUUGCACAAAAUGUGUGGGCUUUAUUCAAAGGUUGAACACAAAAAUGCAGCAACAGAGCCUUCGAUUUCUUACUACUGUUCCAACAGAUGCAGAGGAAACUGAGCUAGCAGAAAUUAGAGAAGUGGGUCGUUACAUCGUGGGCAAUAUGGAAUGCGAGGAAUAAAUUUUAUUUCUAAUAUUUCCAAACUCAUCCAAAGGUGAUCCUUGACUUGGCGAAUGGCUUGUAUUA